UAUGAAGGGGGCUAGCGUUGCUCGGAAUCACUGGGCGUAAAGGGUGCGUAGGCGGGUCUUUAAGUCAGGGGUGAAAUCCUGGAGCUCAACUCCAGAACUGCCUUUGAUACUGAAGAUCUUGAGUUCGGGAGAGGUGAGUGGAACUGCGAGUGUAGAGGUGAAAUUCGUAGAUAUUCGCAAGAACACCAGUGGCGAAGGCGGCUCACUGGCCCGAUACUGACGCUGAGGCACGAAAGCGUGGGGAGCAAACAGG
rnacentral:rRNA from 1 species